UGACCUCAAAUCAGGUAGGACUACCCGCUGAACUUAAGCAUACAAUAAGCGGAGGACGAAUUCC
rnacentral:rRNA from 1 species